ensembl:misc_RNA Metazoa_SRP Metazoan signal recognition particle RNA
GCCAGGUGCGGUGGCGCGUGCCUGUAGUCCCAGCUACUCAGGAGGCUGAGGUGGGAGGAUCGCUUGAGCCCAGGAGUUCUGGGCUGUAGUGCGCUAUGCCGAUUGAAUGUCUGCACUAAGUUCAGCAUCAAUAUGGUGACCUCCCGGGAGCAGGGGAUCACUAGGUUGCCUAAGGAGGGGUGAACCGGCCCAGGUCAGAAACGGAUCAGGUCAAAACUCCCGUGCUGAUCAGUAGUGGGAUCGCGCCUGUGAAUAGCCACUGCACUCCAGCCUGGGCAACACAGAGAGAAACCGGCUCUA